rnacentral:lncRNA from 1 species
GCCAGGAUGGUCUCAAACUCCUGACCUCAGAGGAUCCACCUGCCUCGGCCUCCCAAAGUGCUGGGAUUACAGGCAUGAGCCACUGUGCCGGGUCUUUGUCUUUAGACAGUUUGUGGUGUGUCAGUGUGGAUGUCUUUGAAUUUAUCUUACUUGGAGUUUGUUGAGUUUCUUAGAUGUGUAGAUUAAUGUUUUUCAUCGAAUUUGGAGGGUUUUUAAACCAUAUUUCUUCAAAUAUUCUUUCUUCCCUGUUCCCUCUUUCCUUUCAGGACUCUCACUAUGCAAAAGCUGGUACAUGUGAUGGUCCCACAGGUCUCUUAGGCUCUGUUCCGUUUUCUUCACUUGUUUUCUUUCUGCUCCUCAGAUAGGAUAGCAUGAAAUGAUGUAUCUCCAGUUUCUCUGCUUAUUUCUUCAGCGUGUUCAUAGCUGCUGCUGAGACCCUCUAAUGAGCUUUUCAUUUCAGCUAUUACACUUUCAACACCAGAAUUUCUAUCACUUUUUUUUAAUAUAACUUCUGUCUCUUUAUUGAUAUUCUGUAUUUGGUGAGACAUCAUUCUCACAAAUUCCUCUAGCUCUUUGAAGAUAUUAAAUAAGCUUAUGUGAAAUCUUUUCUGGUGAGUCCAAUAUCUGUGUUUCUUCAGUGAUAUUCUGUUUUAGUUCCUUUUUCCUGUCUAUGAGCUACACUCUUGUAUUCUUUGUAUGCCUUGUAAUUUUUUGUUGAAAAUGAAAUUUUUAAUAAGUGGCAGUUCUGGAAAUCAGACUCUCCCCUCUCCCCAGGAGUUUUUGUAGCUACUGUGGUUUGUUGAGUAACUUUUGUGAACUAAUUUUGUAAAGUCCAUAUUCUUUGUCUGAUGUGGCCACUGAUGUCUGUUCCAAUAGCUUAGAGGGCAGCAAGUGGUGGGACAUAUAGAUUCUUAAACGUCUGGAAUGAAAACUGAAACUUGUUUUUGCAGAUGGGCUCUGCGUGUCUUGGAGCAACCUUCAGCACUCAUCCAGGCUGGUCAAGCCUCUGUCUUAUCACCUCCUGCUCGCAGAAUCUGAAGGUCAGCCCGAGGAGGCACUUCAGGGACUUCUCGGGUUUUUCCCGGCAUGUGCGCAGCCGAGGCGUGUGCGUGGCAUUCCAGAUUCCCGGGAACUCUUAGAACUUUAUCAGGCCUUCAUUUCCUAAAUCAUCUCAUUCCCCAGCCUUUCGUCCCCAGCUUUUUGUUUAGCCUGUGGCGGCAACCAUAAUCCAUUGCCUCAGGCAGCAAUGGCUGAAACACUUUCCUAUCAAUGUUUUUGACACACACUCCCCAAGUGGCUGCCUUUGCACAGACGGAGUUCCAAGACACCGGAGAUGAAGGCAGGAGUUUGAGCCAGUCUUCCACGGAGUCAAAGUAAUUACGAUUCCUAGUCAAAGAGUCCUGUAGCUUCUCCUUCCAGUGCUGGUACCGGGAAUGCAGGCUGUUGCUGUCCCCGCAGAGCUGGGGAGCGACAAAGCUUAUUAUUGUGACGAAGACUCAGCUGUUCUUUCUUAGUGCCCCACGGUUGGUGCAAGCUUUUGGUUAGUUUCCAGAGUUCCAAAAAAGUUGACUCUUGACAGUUUUCACCAGGUUUUCCAUUGUGUUAAGGUAGGGAUGGACUUUUGGAGCUCCUUAUUCUGCAGUUUCUCCGCCUCACAGAAUGCUGAGUAGGGCCAGGAAUGCCGUUUUCCAGCAGGUCCCCUGGCUGAUUCUGACGUGGCUGGUCCGCGGGACACACCGUGAGAAACUAAGCUAGGACUGCGUCUCUCCCUCCAGACAUCACGGCGUCCUCACCGGUCGGUGGGGUCCGCCCUGAAACAUCUGGCUCUUUGGAGUUUGCGUCGAUUUGUGAAAGCUCCGUUCGACCCCGUGUUCCAAGUCCCCUAGUGUAAGAACCCGGCUGUUCCCUUGGUGAUAACUCAAGGCGGGUCACCACCUGGCGGG